UGCUUCACAUGGUGGCAGACUUCUGGGUAUUUAUACUAAUUUACAUUAAUAUGUAUUUAUGGAGGCAACAGGCCGACCAGCAGCUGCUUUAUUUCCUAUAAAUUAGGAUUUAUAAAGGAAAGGUCAGCAGGUUUUAUGCAUCCGAUUUUUUUGUGCGCCGAACUUUUCUAAAUUUUUCUGUCCUCCAAGUUUUAGUGUCUUUUAUGCACGAGGCCCCUGAUCUUCUUUAGUGUUUUUAUCUCAGAGUUUCUCAGUAAUUGAUCUGAAUAAUAUUUUGUGUUUCAGAGAUCAGAACCUCAGACUGAGAGCAGAACCUGCAGGAUCCGUCUGUCCCUCUAUGAGGAGUGACCGGUCUAAAGAAAACUAUAUUGAUGUUGGUCUGCAGGAGGUUCUAAAGGAACAUAAGAUCAGUCUGAGGAGGAGAUGUGAAUGUGUGACUGAAGGAAGUGAUGUAACAGGAAGUGAUGUAACAGGAAGUGAUGUAACAGGAAGCAGAACCCUCCUCAACAGGAUCUACACUGAUCUCUACAUCACAGAGGGUUGGAGUGAAGAGGUUAAUACCCAACAUGAGGUGAA